UGGGGAAAUUGGACAUGGGCGCAAGCCUGAUCCAGCAAUGCCGCGUGUGUGAAGAAGGCCUUCGGGUUGUAAAGCACUUUUAUCAGGAGCGAAAACGCUGUCGGCUAAAUACCCCGGCGGAAACUGACGGUACCUGAGGAAUAAGCACCGGCUAACUUCGUGCCAGCAGCCGCGGUAAAUACGAAGGGGUGCAAAGCGUUAAAUCGGAAAUUACUGGGCGUAAAAGCGUGCGUAGGCGGUUUCUUAAAGUCUGCUGUGAAAAUCCCCGGGCUCAACCUGGGAAUGGCAGUGGAUACUGGGAGGCUAGAGUGUGUCAGAGGGUGGUGGAAUUCCCGGUGUAGCGGUGAAAAUGCGUAGAGAUCGGGAGGAACAUCAGUAGCGAAGGCGGCCACCUGGGGACAAACACUGACGCUGAGGCACGAAAAGCGUGGGGAGCAAAACAGGAUUAGAUACCCUGGUAGU
rnacentral:rRNA from 1 species